UACGAAGGGGGCGAGCGUUGUUCGGAAUUACUGGGCGUAAAGGGCGCGCAGGCGGCUCAGACAGUCAGAAGUGAAAGCCCCGGGCUUAACCUGGGAACUGCAUUUGAUACUACUGAGCUUGAGUACGGGAGAGGAUAGUGGAAUUCCCAGUGUAGAGGUGAAAUUCGUAGAUAUUGGGAAGAACACCGGUGGCGAAGGCGGCUAUCUGGACCGUAACUGACGCUGAGGCGCGAAAGCGUGGGGAGCAAACAGG
rnacentral:rRNA from 1 species